UCCAGGUCUUGUCCACCAUGGUGGGCCU
rnacentral:sRNA from 1 species